GUUUGCAUGGAGAGAGACCCUUGAUAGCCGAUGAAAAAAGUCUCUGAGGUUACAACACCCCAUGAACCUGUAAUGUAAUGGAGCGACUAGCAGCAAAGUUGACACUAUAAUUUUGGUUAUUUCCGUUUUGUGCUGUCAGCGACUUAACCUGGAGGAGUAGAUUUGGUGAAAUUUAGAAACCUUUUUGAUUCCGUGCUAUGUGGAGGACCAUGUGGUUGUGCAUCCAAUCUUAGCCCCUG
rnacentral:lncRNA from 1 species